rnacentral:rRNA from 1 species
UGGGGAAUAUUGGGCAAUGGGCGAAAGCCUGACCCAGCAACGCCGCGUGAAGGAUGAAGUAUUUCGGUAUGUAAACUUCGUAAGAAUAGGAAGAAUAAAUGACGGUACUAUUUGUAAGGUCCGGCUAACUACGUGCCAGCAGCCGCGGUAAUACGUAGGGACCAAGCGUUGUUCGGAUUUACUGGGCGUAAAGGGCGCGUAGGCGGUGUGUCAAGUCAGUUGUGAAAUCUCCGAGCUUAACUCGGAACGGUCAACUGAUACUGUCACACUAGAGUACAGAAGGGGCAAUCGGAAUUCUUGGUGUAGCGGUGAAAUGCGUAGAUAUCAAGAGGAACACCUGAGGCGAAGGCGGGUUGCUGGGCUGAUACUGACGCUGAGGCGCGAAAGCUAGGGUAGCAAACGGGAUUAGAUACCCCAGUAGUCCCUGAGCGGGCUGGCAAGGCGCAU